CUGACACACAGGAACCAGCAUUCCAGCAACAGCACCCAGACUUGCCUUCUGGUUUACCCCUCCGGGAAACCAUGGAGCCCCCUUCCGGAGGCACAACUAACAGGGAGACAUGAACCUGCCCACUA